AAAACCUGACGCCGGGUUCAGGGUGACCAAGAAUACUCUGACCCUGGGUGGAGGUCCACCAUUGCAUCCCGGUGGGUUGAAAUUCGCGACGAACUCUGAUGGGGUGCGCUCAGGGGUUUAGUUCUUGUCAGUGGGGGGGCCUCACGGUCCUCCCUUU
rnacentral:snRNA from 15 species